rnacentral:rRNA from 1 species
UACGUAGGGUGCAAGCGUUUGUCCGGAAUUAUUGGGCGUAAAGAGCUCGUAGGCGGUCUGUCGCGUCGGCUGUGAAAACUCGGGGCUCAACCCCGAGCCUGCAGUCGAUACGGGCAGACUAGAGUGCUGUAGGGGAGACUGGAAUUCCUGGUGUAGCGGUGAAAUGCGCAGAUAUCAGGAGGAACACCGGUGGCGAAGGCGGGUCUCGUGGGCAGUAACUGACGCUGAGGAGCGAAAGCGUGGGGAGCGAACAGG